ACACACGGUGGUGGAGGGGAGCAGCCCAGGCGUGAACGCGGGCACCGGCACACGGGAGCCAAGAGCACGCAUGCGCACACAAAUGCAUUCAUUCUGCUACACUGGCGAGCCGCGGCGCUGAGAGGCAUCUCCUGAAGCGACUUGGUUUUGUUGUUGCUUGCCCGUGUGGAGGGCUGGUGGCGGCGCACAUUCCGUGUUGCGGCGCCGCGGUCAGCGCGGUGGCUGUGCCUGCGGGCCGGCCCACCCGCCGCCAACGACUGAGCGGCGGGAGACGGCUCGGAGGGCCUGCCCGAUGGGUGUGCGCACCGCGUGGGGAUGCCCCGGGCCGGCAAAAGAGGGGCGGCGCUGCCUGCACGCUGCCGGGGGGCAAUGGCGAAGGGGAGCUGUCUGCGGCGUGUGUGCAAGGGCGCUGUGGCACAUGAGGGCGUUGUGCGGCACGGCCCCGCAAAGGAUGUGCAGCUGUUCGGCAGCACGCAUUUCCACGCGGCCGCUGCUGCUCAUACGCGGCGCGCUUCGUUUCGUUUCCGUUUCGAGGUGCAGAGCUGCUGCGGUGCAGCCCCUGUGUGCGCGUGCCUUCCGUGCGUGCCUGCGGUGUCUAUCCCCGCUGUGUGCAGUGGACGGGGCGAGCGGUGACGGCGCGGCGCAGGUGGUGUCGGCGGUGGUGUGCCGCGCGUGACGGCCGCUGUGUCCUCUCGCGCUGCCGUCAUCGAUGCGCCUUCUGCUCUCUGGACGUGUGGAGGAGGGAUGUGCGGGCGGUGCGGAGUGGGCGGUGCUGCUGCCCUCCUGCACACACGUACACAGCGGCCCCUCGCCCCCCUCCUCUGCACACGCCGCUCGAAAGGCCUCACACAGGUGCACCCACGACAACGCGGAAGGGGGAGAGCGGCGCCGAGAAGCAGCGGACGGCAGGCCCUGCAGCUGCGGCUCUCUGCACACGCGCUCCCUCGCAUGUCGACCUCGCUGUGCGCGGCGCGGUUGCUUGGCUGCCGCGGCCACACGGAGGGGGCGGUGCAAGACGGGAUGAGCGUCGGAGGGUGGGGCCAGGCUUGUCAAGGAGUGUGGCAGGCUGUGCCCUCCGUCCUCUCCGCUUGGAUGCCUUCAGCGGUGCUUCCGUCGCGCCCUCGCUGCCGCUGCGGCGCUUCUCGCGUCCGCCGGCCGCCUCUCCGUACGUGCGUGCCUUGCGUGCAUGCCGAGAAGUGGCCCAUGUGCUCCCGCUGUGCGCGCCUCGCAGCGCCACGUGCCCAUGUCCUCGCCACUCUCCCCCGCAUUUCUCUCUCUGUCUCUCCCUCUCUCCUCCCCCGCUUUCACUCCUGCCCACACCCCACAUCCCUCCUCCUCUAACGGCACACACACACACACACACACACACACACACGAGCGACACCGUGUGCGUGCACGUGUAACAACAACAG
rnacentral:misc_RNA from 1 species